rnacentral:rRNA from 1 species
UUCCGGUUGAUCCUGCCGGACCCGACUGCUAUCAGAGUGGGACUAAGCCAUGCGAGUCGACGUAGCAAUGCGUGGCGAACGGCUCAGUAACACGUAGUCAACAUGCCCAGGGGACGUGGAUAACCUCGGGAAACUGAGAAUAAACCACGAUAGGUCACGAUUUCUGGAAUGGAUCAUGGCAUAAAUCUACAUGGCCCCUGGAUUGGACUGCGGCCGAUCAGGCAGUUGGUGAGGUAAUGGCCCACCAAACCUAUAACCGGUACGGGCUCUGAGAGGAGAAGCCCGGAGAUGGGCACUGAGACAAGGGCCCAGGCCCUAUGGGGCGCAGCAGGCGCGAAACCUCUGCAAUAGGCGAAAGCCUGACAGGGUUACUCUGAGUGAUUUCCGCUAAGGGGAUCUUUUGGCACCUCUAAAAAUGGUGCAGAAUAAGGGGUGGGCAAGUCUGGUGUCAGCCGCCGUGGUAAUACCAGCACCCCGAGUGGUCGGGACGAUUAUUGGGCCUAAAGCAUCCGUAGCCGGUUCUGCAAGUCUUCCGUUAAAUCCAGCCGCUCAACGGAUGGGCCGCGGAGGAUACUACAGGACUAGGAGGCGGGAGAGGCAAGCGGUACUCAGUGGGUAGGGGUAAAAUCCUUUGAUCCAUUGAAGACCACCAGUGGCGAAGGCGGCUUGCCAGAACGCGCUCGACGGUGAGGGAUGAAAGCUGGGGGAGCAAACCGGAUUAGAUACCCGGGUAGUCCCAG